rnacentral:tRNA from 1 species
GAGAGAUGGCCGAGCGGUUGAAGGCACCGGUCUUGAAAACCGGCGACGCGUGAGCGUCCGUGGGUUCGAAUCCCACUCUCUCC